UACGUAGGCAGCCAGCGUUGUUCGGAAUUACUGGGCGUAAAGAGUGUGUAGGCGGUGUCGUAAGUUUGGCGUGAAAUCUCCCGGCUUAACUGGGAGGGUGCGCCGAAGACUGCGAUGCUUGAGGAUCGGAGAGGAAAGUGGAAUUUCUGGUGUAGCGGUGAAAUGCGUAGAUAUCAGAAGGAACACCUGUGGUGUAGACGGCUUUCUGGACGAUUCCUGACGCUGAGACACGAAAGCGUGGGUAGCAAACAGG
rnacentral:rRNA from 1 species